rnacentral:misc_RNA from 1 species
GUUUUUUCUUCUUCUUCAUAGAACUGCAAUUGGUGUUUAGCUUGAAAUUUCAUGUGGGAGAUAUUCGGAUUAUUGUUAUUGUUCGUCAAUAGGGGAGGUGAUUGUUUGUUGUUGGAGAAAUUGGUAUUUCAGGAGCCAAACUGUGUUAAGUAUUGAUUGUAUUGGUGAAGAAGUGAACCACUGAGAACAUUUUUCUGGAUUUUGGAAAGUCAGAAACCUCUUUUUUGUAGAAGUUAGAGUGUCUAUUCUUUUUAAAAUGCAUGCUAGGCAUCGGAGUCCGGUAGGUGCGUAUAGGUCUAGUUCAAUGGGAAUGGGUGGUGUGGCUACUGCCUCGCGGGUUUCACCUGAUGGAACAGGGAGAGGUCGUGGAUUGCAUAAUUCGGAGUACAGAAACUAUAACCGAGGUGGAUUUGGGCGGGGACAGCAAUCGAAGCAGUUUGGAUUUCAGCAGCCUUCGCAUGGGAAUGACAUUUUCAUGGAAGCUGGACGGUUAGCAGCUGAGUAUCUUGUUUCCAAGGGGUUGCUACCACCGAAUGCUCUUUCAGGGAAGUUGCCGAAUGGUAGCUUAAAGAGCCCAGUUGGGAAUUUUCUGGGAUUUAAGCAACAAGAUAUUGAUGAAGGUCAGACAUCAACUCUUUCACGAACGGAGAGUGAUGUGGGUCCUGGUAGGAGAAGGUUUUCUGAUGAAUAUG